rnacentral:rRNA from 1 species
GACGAACGCUGGCGGCGUGCUUAACACAUGCAAGUCGAACGGUGAAGCUCCAGCUUGCUGGAGUGGAUCAGUGGCGAACGGGUGAGUAACACGUGAGCAACCUGCCCCUGACUCUGGAAUAAGCGCUGGAAACGGCGUCUAAUACUGGAUACGAGAAGGGUCCGCAUGGGCACUUUCUGGAAAGUUUUUCGGUUGGGGAUGGGCUCGCGGCCUAUCAGCUUGUUGGUGAGGUAAUGGCUCACCAAGGCGACGACGGGUAGCCGGCCUGAGAGGGCGACCGGCCCCACAGGGAUAGGGGAACGGCCAAGGCCCAUUAGGGGGGCAGGGGUGGGAAAUUUUGCAAAAGGGGCGAAGGGCGGGUGGAGGGACGCCGGGGGGGGGAGGACGGCUUUCGGGUGGGAAACCCUUUUCGGCAGGAAAGAGGGGAAAGGGCGGGACCCGGAGAAAAAACCCCGGGUAAAUUAGUG